rnacentral:tRNA from 1 species
CAUUAGAUGACUGAAAGCAAGUAAUGGUCUCUUAAACCAAGUAAUAGUAGUUUAGCUGCUACUUCUAAUGA